UUUUUUUUUAAAAAAGGCAAGAAACCAAGGCAGAAAGCCAAGAGAGAAGAGAAAAAUCAAUGUAGAAACAUCACAACAAUGGAACAAAAAACAACUAAAUUGGUAGAAAUAACUCUGAGUAUAUCAACAACAACAACAACAACAACAAUAAUAGUGAAUUACUGAUCUCUCCAGUAAAAAGUAUAUGUCAUUAAGACAGGAUUAAAAAAAUCCAACCAUGUGCUGUUUACAAGAUCACAUCUAAAAUGUAAGGACCAGAAAUGUUUUAAGUAAAACAAUAGAGAUGAUAUACCAAGCAAAUAUAAACCAAAAGAAAGUUGGUAUUUUUAUAGUAGAUAAAAUAGACUUAAAUUUAAGGGAAAAACAUUACUAGAGUUAUAGGGUCAUUACAUAAUGAUGGAAGUUUUAAAUCACUGGGAGGAAGAUUGUGAUGUGCUGCAUAGAGUCCUUUUCAGGAUUUAUCACUUCAUCUGCUGAGAAUGUCAUCUGCAUGUAACUCUCAGCCAUCAGUCCACAAGGGAGAUUGGAACCUCCUUAACCAAGUUCACACUUUCUUCCCCCAGCAUCUCAAAACAAAUGACCAACAAAUGAUAGACCAAUGGGGACACCCUGAAGGGUCAGUCCAUCUUUGGAACUCCUCACAUGGUCAGUUUAGACAUUCCAUUGAGACCACAUCACAUUUUGACUCCUCUCUCUGGCCACUCCUGUUUCCUUCCCUUCCACAGGUGUUGAAUGCAAAAGCACUUCCUAAUGAAUCUCCUACAUACUCAUUUCUGUCUCAGCAUUGGUUCCUGGAAAACCCAGACUGCAACAAAUGGUACCAGAAAGACCCAAGAAAAGCAAGUUCGGGGAUGAGAUUUGGGAGCAGUCUCACCCACCCUCAGUUUGUCCUGGAGAUUCCAAACCUGAUGAGGCCAGCAGAGUGUCUGGUAAGAUCAACAAAUGAACCAGCUCCAAACAAGGUGUUAAUGGCUGAUGUCAAGUCAGUGAGAGCAUGGAGAAGGGCCACCAUUUGUUUGCCAGUGUUUCUUCUUCCUGAGAUCUGCUGUCUUGGCUCUUGUGUGAUCAAGGCCAGUGUCCAGAACAUAAGCCUUGAUCUCAGAAGGUGAAGUAAAAUGGCGUGAUAUCUUCUUGUGUGAUUCAGAGAGUUUCUCAAUUGACACCUGGGCCAGUCUAAUCUUAGGCAUGGGCCUUAUUCCAGAAAACAGCUUUCCCUCCAUUGCACCCAGGGAAGCCAGAAAAAUCACCUUAUGAGAAAAAUGUAUCAAUACAGUAAUGAAUGAAGAUGUUCCUGAGCUAUAUUUAAAAUGCCAUGGUAAGUACAAAUUGUAAUUCUCAGAGGUUACUAUAAUUUUGGGUGGAUAAUCAAAAAAUUGUUUUAAACUUCAUCAGUUCUUAUGCUUUGUCAUUUGAGAACCUGGGCUGAGCUUUAAACAUAGCACAUUUAUAUGAUGGGACAAACCUUAAUGACUACGAGAUUCUCCUCAGAGUUCAUCUUCUCUCUGGUCAAUUUCAUGACUCAAGAGAGCUGGAGCUGGUAGUUGGGAAUGAGCUGAUUUUUGUCUUUAAGGAUAUAUAAAAUAUAAAUCAUAUCCUGACUAUGAAGGUCAUAAGUUACCAUUUAAGUUGGCUCUGUUUACUCUUUACUUCCCUAAAGACCUACCACAAAAUGAUGAAGAAAAAUCUAUGGAAGAUAAUGAAUUUUCAUGUUACACCAUGUUCUUAAUUAUUUAAAGUCUACUGAGAGAGAGAGAGUGAGAGAAAGAGAGAGAAAGAAAAAGAGAUACUUGGACAGACUGAGAUCAAGUCACAGAAAAAGGAAGAAUGGACAGGAGUCAGGAGCUAAAGGAGUCAGAAUUUGAAGCGGUGCUAAUACUCCUAAGUAUCAUUACUAAGCUUGUUACAAAAUUCACACAUCAACCCUUAUCUAUUAAAUUUUAAAUUUGCCUCUGACAAAGACAGUGACCUGAAAGGCAGUCCAGAGUCCUUAGACUUAACUCCCAGAAGGUAAUUUGUUACCCGACACUCCACAUAGUUCACACAGCAUCUGAUGGUUCCAAGGAGGAUCUUCAGUGUAUUUCUAGCAAGAGCAGAAGAUAUUUCUUUGGCUUCCAAAUUCAAAGAGACUAGUAUAUAUAAAUUUUGUUGCCCUUGAAUUUUUCUGAAUCUUAUUGGCACUAGGCAAAUUUUAAGUUCCCCGGAGGUCCAUUUGAGGACUGAAGAUGUCCCCAUGUAUGAAAGGGGUUCUGGGUCAUAAAGAGGAAAGAAAAGAAAAGAGAAAGGGAACCACAUGGAGACCUCAUACCACUUGGGUGGGAGCGCUGACAGGCAGUAGCUGAAGGGGAGUUUGUGGUUAUUGCCCUGUUAACAGGUCCCUCUGGAAAUCCAUCAUUGGAGGGGGAGUCCCGAAGCAAGGUGUGGGAAUUGAAAAAAUGGAAAACAGGAAAUGCACACCAACAAUAAAAAGUAGACUUUUUAAUGAAAAACAUAUCUAUAACGUCCAGUGUUUCAGCCAUAAGAGAUGUAAAAUUCUUGGAAACAUUUAUUAGUGAGAAGAGCGAGCCACACUUUAGGUUCCUUAUAAUGAUCUCAUCUUCAAAGGGAAGGAUAAGGAGAAAAUGCAUAGAAUGAAAAAUUUUACCCAUAAAUAUAUAAUAUCAUAUGAAAUCUAUUUCAAAGCAUUGUACAGAAUUCAUAUCCUUGAUACUUACAAUGCUGCAGUUAAUUAGCUAGGCUACAUGAAAAAAAAUGAAAAAUGAGAGAACAAUGAAAUGAAACCGAUGCCAAAGGAUCCUGGAAUGAGAACAAAGACAAGGAAAUGAAGCAAUUGGCAGCUACAGAGCAGUAAUCCAUCCAUAGGCAAAUUUCAGAUGAUAACUCAGAAAUAUUUGCUCAACAUUUCUUUUGUUUAGGACUAUCCUAAAUAAGUAAAGAAAACCAUCUAAAAAUUCAUCCAAAUAGGUAAGAAGCUAAAGAACAAAUAAAGCUAUUUGUCUUCACUCAUGAAUGCGUACCUGAAUAAAAAAUAACCGUGGGUGAAUUCGGUUUCGGCAUAGAGGAUUUAGAAAUGACAUAACCUUUUAGGGUUUUGAAUUGCAUUUCUGAGAAUAUGAUCAUGCAGGAAUUAAAGAUACUCUUCCUUUCUUUCUCUUUCAAUCUGUGUCUUAAGAACAGGGGACCUUUGUUACAUACUCUCGCAUACUCAGCACAUACAUGGGGAACAUCCUGUGUGACUUAGAUGAAAUAACCUCCUGGUGUCACUAGCCACUCCCCUACAAAAUGACACUGAGAAUACUGAGUCACCCUAAGCAUGGCCUUUGGGAUCAAUUGGUUAUUAAAAUGGUUUUAAGAAAGCUCAAGUGUUAUAUGUUAUUUAGUAAUUAUUGAACAACCUUAAUUUCAGGUUCUUUUUUUUCCCAUUUAUAUCUCACAAGUUUAAAGAAAAGUGGCAGAAAGUUUCCCCAUAUUGGAAGUGCUAGAGUGGCUGGAGGAAAUGAGUCAUCAAGAUAAUUUAUGAUCUUUCCCAUAACUUGCAGUGCACAGAACAUAGUAAUCCUUUGUUAUCCAGGCCACUCAAUGACCAAACUCCAGGACCUUGAUGGAAUAUAAUUAAAAUAGGAUUUCUGUAGACUCAAGUCUCUGCUGCAUAUCCCAAAAUGGCUUUACCUCAUCGCAAUAUGCACAUUUAAUAAUAUUUACUGUUUUUUUCUUUCCUACUACAUGAUCACAUGAAGCUAGUCUCAGUAAGAAAUUACUUUUUAAAUGAAUAAAAUAAAGUUCUUAGUUUCUAAGAACUUAUUGGUAGGAGAGAAAGAGAAGCCCCAAAGAGCUAAAAUACUCAGGAAAUAUGCUAAGAGUCACUGGAGAGACUGAAACUAUUAGAAGGGAGAGAGAGAGUUAAUUUGCAUUCAAACCAGGGAUUUUUACUUAGUUGUUUAGUUUUUUUUUUGUUUUGUUUUAAAAUCAGAAGAUUCUGGAUCAAUAUGGAAAAAAUUCUAAUGAGUUGUGGUCUUUAAAACUCUUGAUAUUCAGGAAGCCAAAAGGAUAUUCUUCAACUUAUUUCUGGGGGGCUGGGGGGAUGUUCAGUGAUUUAAGGAAUCUAAGAAUUGGGUAGAGCCUUAUAUUUUUUAAAGAAGUUUUAUUUUUUCUACAGGUUUGUAAAAUUUCACUUUGUGAAUGCAUUUCUAGGUCCAAUACGUAUUACCUUAAAUAUUUUCUCACCACUGAAAUGUGAUUCAGCCUGAUUGGGUAUUAAGGGGUGUCCUCCAGGCCCAGAGCAAUGAUAGCUUUUCACAUCCUGUCUUCUUGUAAUCACCCCAUCAUAAAGCACUUAUCCUUAACACCUCAGAAAAUUGGGCAAGCCCUGUCCUUUUGUCUGCCACAUUAUUUAUCACAGAGAUGCAGCACAUUGACAAUUCCAGACACCACGCAUGGGAAAAGGAAUUUCUAAAGUAACACAUCAACCUCCCUUUGAGCAACAGGAAACUCCAUUCUGUGUGAGAAUAUUUGCUGAGUCAAACUCUGGUUUGGUAAAAUAUUUUGUUGGGUGGAUCUAAUUCAACCCUUUAAAAAGUCAUCUGACUCACUCCAUGGAAAACACAUUUUGGACAUUGUUAAGCCCUGGCUGUGCUAGCCCAUUACCUGCCCUUCUGGAGACCUUAGACCACAUAUCUGUACAUGUGUAUGUGCAUAUGUGUACCACACACAGUUCUGUAUUACCUGAGGUCAUCUCUCAGUUGCUCAGUGGAACGCUAAAUGCAUUUUCCUAAAAGUUGGGUAUUCGCCAAAGUAUGAAAAUCGUAAAAAUUUAAAAUAUUUUCUUCCAUUUCUAGACAGUGAGCCCCAGUUUUUAGUUUAGAAAGUAUAUACCAUGAUGCUACUGACCUGCCAUCAGUACAGCGUAUGCUCUUGGCAAUCUAGUGCUAAUCAAUCCAACUUACUCAUCUGUGAAUAAUAAAUGGAAUUUUAAGAUGCCCUGCCUAGAUUUUGUGGGGUGACCCAAUCAGGUAGAGGCUGGAAGCAUAGGAGGUGAAAGAAUUUAUGCAAAGCAGAACAAAGGAGAUGCGAGUUUACUGAAUACAUUGCAAAGGAGCAGCAGGCAGGAUAGCAAAGGAGAGACUGCAAGGAGACAGUGGUGGGGGGCUGUAAUUAAGUGGGGGAGUGAGGAGGUAUGGGAGUGUAUGAAAUUUUCCUUUUAUGGUACCUGUGCCUGGUUGUAAGUAGCCCACUGGUCAGCUAGGGCUUACAGAUAUUUUGAGGUGCUGGCCUAAUAAGCCUAUUUGCGUUCAACCCAGUGGUCACUGUGGGCCCUUUUGCCUCACUCAGGUUUCCAUUGCUCAAGCCUGUUGCCUAAAAGUGGCUUCUACAGAUCUUGCGAAAUUUAUCUACUGCAAUGGGUUGGAACCAAGUUAUGACCACUACAGGGAACAAUAAGGGGCAAAGAGGGAUAUGUGGUUUCCUAAAAUUACGUGCUGAAUAAUUGGGAAAGAGUAAGAUACACAUAAAUCUCAUAUAGGACAGAGAUUCCAAAAGAAUCACUGUAAUCACAAUACUGGACCUCUGCGUCUCCAUCUCUGAGAUGUUUAUAAUCUCUUUUGUAUAAAAGCUUUUCCAAAGUCUGAUUCUUUUAAGGCAUCUAAUUUGUGCUCCUAUGUGCUGCUUCCCACACUUAGCACUCCUUUUUGGAAAGAUUUCUACAGCAUGUAGGCCUGAUUUUUAAGUGGAAUGUAAGUAAGAAUUGUUAAUUAGCCACGGUGGUUAUUAAACAUAGAAACACUUAGACCUGCUAAUUCAGGUCUUAAUUCUAAUGGUGCAUUCAUCAAAUUAACAAUUAAUCAAUAAUUAUUUCCUUACUUAAAGGGUGAAGUGAGGUGGAGGAAGCAGUAUUAAUCUUCUUUAAAUAGUCUACUAUGGGUUAUGCAUUUUACACACAGUAUCUUACUCCCAAUUCAUGACAAAUGCUAUUCUUAGCCCCGUUUUGCUAAUGAGAAGGAAAUGGAGACUCAAAAGAAAUUAAUAACCAGCCUGAGGUCACAGGGCUAAUAGUCAGCAGAGCUGGAACUUGAAUUUUGGUGGGUCACAAAAUCCAGGCUCUUUUUAAAACACUAAGCUGCCUCCUUAUUAUCCCAGUUGAGUUGCUAUUGCCCAAAUGAAGAACGGUAAACCCAAAACAUAAAACCAAGGAAAGAUGGGGGGUGAGAAUGUCCCUGUAUGAUCCACAUUUAUUUUGUUCCUUCCUGGCAGCUCAAAUAACCAUAGAAUCCCUGGUGAUCCUAAGCAUUUGAAGAUGAAUGCAUGAGGUAUGGAAAGUACUUGCACUGAAGAGCCAACUGAUCAGCUAAUCAUUCCAACAUGUAGUACAUAGCAGCCUCCACCGUACUGCAUGCCCAGAGAAAAUGAAAUAGAGAAGAAAGAAAGUACCACAGCUCCUUUUAUUGGAGCAGAAACAUGAAAGAGAAGGUUAAGCAAUAACACAUAUGAACAUUCAUUUGCAAUUACUUCUCUUCUAACUUAAUGUAGGGCCUUGGGUUAUACAAUAAACUAGCAGUUUGGGCACUUCAAGGCAUAAUAACUUCCUCUCUUUUCAUAGAUCAGAGUCAGAGAAUAACUCUCCCAAGUCGCAUGUCCCCAUAAGCCUCUACAAUAAGCCUUUUGGUGCUGAAUGGUCUGUAUUUUUUAGCCUUCUAAGUGACCUUCUAACACUUUCCUUCAAAACCUCAUGCCUGUGGUUUCCUAAAUCUUCCAGAGAUCUUUUUCUUAGGAACUGCUUUCCUUUUUUUUUAAAUUUUGCACCACUCCCUCUAAUUAAUGACAGUACGAAAUUUACCAGUUGGGAAUCUUCUUAAAGAUGACAUACAAAUCAAUUAUUUGGGAUUAAAAUGAAUUUCCUAAAUGGUUAUGUAUCCAGAUGAAUGUAUAGUUAAUAAAUGAUCUCUCUGAGCUAUGGAACUGAAAUACCAUCCAACCUAUCUCUAGACAUCAUUUAUAGCAUUGUUUUUAUCAGGAAAAAUGUAUUCUCAGUUCUGUAUGUAUUUAUUUAUGCAAGAAAUAUUAAUGAAUGCCCACUAAAGGCCAGGUAGCAUGGCCAAAAUGCUAACUAAUACCCGUGAGCUUCUGGGGCAUUCAACCUAGUGAUUCACUCAGUGAAUUCAAUACAUUAACUUAACACACACACACCAAAAACAAGUGUGAAUGGGGAAAAUGCAAAUGUUGGUGAACAUAAUGCAGGGGCGACUAACAUAAAUAAUGAAGAUAAACAAGAGUAAGCAGGUAAAGAUAGUGUUAAAGAAGAGACAGGUCCCAGGCAAAGAGAACAUGUGUAAAAGAUGAAGCUAGAGAAAGCAAGCAGUUAAAUGAAAACACUCAAAAAUUAGAGCAAACUGGAACUUGGGUGCAAAGAGGGUUAGUGAUAGGGUGACACUGGGCAGAUGAAUAGGCGGAUUGCGCCUCAGUGGGUUUAGGAGCCAUGUGAAAGAGUUUAAACUUUGUCUUAGGAAGAGGGAAGAGUUAAAACAAGUCAAUCACAUGGUCAUAUAUUCUUUUUUUUUAAGAUGUGCCUGUUAAACUUAGGAAGGCAUAAGAAUCAUCCCGAGAGCUUUGUAAAGUACAGUUUCUUAGGGUCUACUACAGACAGUAUGAACAGUAGGCCUGCAAUGGGGCUUGAGAAUUUGCAUUUCUCAUAAGCUCCUAGGUGAUGUGGAUGCUCCUGG